AAAGCGUCGAUGUUCCGUCCAAAUUCCCCCUCCAAAAGCUGGAUGGCAGCGAAAAACCCUUCCGAAGGCCUCAUUAGGUUUGCCGUUGCCGUGUAUUUUUUUGCCUCCAGGAAGGGGUGGUCCUCACUUGUGGCGUAGCUGUGGUCCUGAUGUCUGGCACCCAACAACAGCACCUCACAGUGUGGACAGGCCUGAACAAUUUCCUCCUUUUGAAGGACCCGGACAAGCCAGCCAGCAACGUAGAACAGGGUGGUAGGGAGGGCCAUUGAGGUCAUUGGAGCUGUUGAGGUGGAGGGGAUUGCGUCCUCUGACAUACUGGCUUGGAGGGUUGUCCCGUCAUCCAGCUCGCAGUUUGAUGCAGUCGAUGCAGAAAGAGCAGCCCUAUAUGAUGUAGGUGGCGAAUGGCAUCCUUAAUGACGGUAGCAAUAUCAUCUGCUGGCAUUGAAGAUGGGGAAAAGAAGUAACCAACCGUCUGUUGAAAGAAAUGCCUUAGGACGAGCGUACACAUCCUCUCCACAGGGGUCAUGGUGGCGGCGAUGACUCCCAUUUGGGAGAUGAUUCCCUGUAGGAAGCCAGGCUGUCAGGAAAUAAAAGUUGUGCCCUAAUGAAGUUCCGGCAGCCCUCAGGACACCUCUGGAGCCUCUCCUCCAUAAUUUCAUGGGGACUACGAAAGAACAAGAGGUGGGGAGGCAACUGGUGGCGGGUUGUCGCAAUCCACCAGUGUGGGGAUGGCAUCUCUGUUGGACCUUGAUGCUGUGACAACGGACAAGUCUUCUUCCUCUUUUAUUAUAUUGUUGUUCCUCGGUCCUUUUUUCCCUGCCUAUGUUCAGUGUUCAGUUCUCUUUUUUUUUUUUUUUUUUAUUAUUUACUAUGUUACUGUUCUUAUUGUGUUCUUGUGUGAUGUUUGAAUAAACUUGCCUGUUGCAAUGUUGGUAUGUUUGUAUAAUUACUGUUAUACAACUGUUACUGUUUCAACGUGU
ensembl:lncRNA